GAAUUGCCUUUGAUACUGCAUGUCUUGAGUCUGGUUGCGGUAGGCGGAAUGUAGUAUGUAGCGGUGAAAUGCAUAGAUAUACUACAGAACACCCAUUGCGAAGGCAGCUUACCAAACCAGCACUGACGCUCAGGCACGAAAGCGUGGGGAGCAAACAGGAUUAGAUACCCUGGUAGUCCACGCCGUAAACGUUGAUCACUCGUUGUUGGCAAUACACCGUCAGCGACUAAGCAAAAGCAUUAAGUGAUCCACCUGGGGAGUACGAUCGCAAGGUUGAAACUCAAAGGAAUUGACGGGGGCCCGCACAAGCGGAGGAGCAUGUGGUUUAAUUCGAUGAUACGCGAGGAACCUUACCCGGGCUUAAAUGUAGGGUGCAUUGGUGUGAAAACA
rnacentral:rRNA from 1 species